CACUCCUGCGGGAGGCAGAAGUGGGGAAUUUUGGACAAUGGGCGAAAGCCUGAUCCAGCAAUGCCGCGUGAGUGAAGAAGGCCUUCGGGUUGUAAAGCUCUUUUGUCAGGGAAGAAACGGUGAAAGCUAAUAUCUUUUGCUAAUGACGGUACCUGAAGAAUAAGCACCGGCUAACUACGUGCCAGCAGCCGCGGUAAUACGUAGGGUGCAAGCGUUAAUCGGAAUUACUGGGCGUAAAGCGUGCGCAGGCGGUUUUGUAAGUCUGAUGUGAAAUCCCCGGGCUCAACCUGGGAAUUGCAUUGGAGACUGCAAGGCUAGAAUCUGGCAGAGGGGGGUAGAAUUCCACGUGUAGCAGUGAAAUGCGUAGAUAUGUGGAGGAACACCGAUGGCGAAGGCAGCCCCCUGGGUCAAGAUUGACGCUCAUGCACGAAAGCGUGGGGAGCAAACAGGAUUAGAAACCCCGGUAGUCCCAUGAU
rnacentral:rRNA from 1 species